rnacentral:rRNA from 1 species
UCCUACGGGAGGCAGCAGUGGGGAAUAUUGCACAAUGGGGGAAACCCUGAUGCAGCCAUGCCGCGUGUGUGAAGAAGGCCUUCGGGUUGUAAAGCACUUUCAGUUGUGAGGAAAAGUUAGUAGUUAAUACCUGCUAGCCGUGACGUUAACAACAGAAGAAGCACCGGCUAACUCCGUGCCAGCAGCCGCGGUAAUACGGAGGGUGCGAGCGUUAAUCGGAAUUACUGGGCGUAAAGCGCACGCAGGCGGUUUGUUAAGCUAGAUGUGAAAGCCCCGGGCUCAACCUGGGAUGGUCAUUUAGAACUGGCAGACUAGAGUCUUGGAGAGGGGAGUGGAAUUCCAGGUGUAGCGGUGAAAUGCGUAGAUAUCUGGAGGAACAUCAGUGGCGAAGGCGACUCCCUGGCCGAAGACUGACGCUCAUGUGCGAAAGUGUGGGUAGCGAACAGGAUUAGAUACCCUGGUAGUCCACACCGUAAACGCUGUCUACUAGCUGUGUGUGCCUUUAAGGCGUGCGUAGCGUAGCUAACGCGCUAAGUAGACCGCCUGGGGAGUACGGCCGCAAGGUUAAAACUCAAAUGAAUUGACGG